UGGUCAAGUGUUUAAUUCACAUU
rnacentral:piRNA from 1 species